rnacentral:miRNA from 1 species
GUGUGUGUGUGUGUGUGUGUGUGUGUGUGUGUGUGUGUCUGACAGGUAGACAGACACACACACACACACACACUCACUG